GCGAACGGGUGAGUAAUGCUUCGGAAUCUACCCUAUAGUGGGGAAUAACCAGCCGAAAGGUUGGCUAAUACCGCAUACGUCCUACGGGAGAAAGCAGGGGAUCGUAAGACCUUGCGCUGAUGGAUGAGCCGAAGUCGGUUUAGCUAGUUGGUGAGGUAACGGCUCACCAAGGCGACGAUCCGUAGCUGGUCUGAGAGGACGACCAGCCACACUGGGACUGAGACCAGCGGCCCAGACUCCUACGGGAGGCAGCAGUAGGGAAUAUUGGACAAUGGGGGAAACCCUGAUCCAGCGACGCCGCGUGUGUGAAGAAGGCCUGCGGGUUGUAAAGCACUUUUAGUGGGGAUGAAAUGUGCAGGGUUAAUACCUCUGCAUUUUGACCUAACCUACAGAAAAAGCACCGGCUAACUCUGUGCCAGCAGCCGCGGUAAUACAGAGGGUGCAAGCGUUAAUCGGAAUUACUGGGCGUAAAGCGUGCGCAGAUGGUUCGAUAAGUCGGGUGUGAAAGCCCCGGGCUCAACCUGGGAAUUGCAUUCGAGACUGCCGAGCUAGGGUGCGGAAAGAGGGCAAGCGGAAUUUCCGGUGUAGCGGUGAAUUG
rnacentral:rRNA from 1 species